rnacentral:rRNA from 1 species
AAUGAACGUUGGCGGCGUGGAUUAGGCAUGCAAGUCGAGCGUGUACCCGCAAGGGGAAAGCGGCAAACGGGGUAGGAACGCGUAGGUCACGUACCCCUCGGCCGGGGAUAGCCACGGGAAACUGUGGGUAAUACCCGAUGACGCCGAGAGGCCAAAGGUGUGAUUCCGCCGGGGGAGCGGCCUGCGUAGUAUUAGCUAGUUGGUGAGGUAACGGCUCACCAAGGCGAAGAUGCUUAGGGGGUGUGAGAGCAUGACCCCCACCACUGGGACUGAGAUACUGCCCAGACACCUACGGGUGGCUGCAGUCGAGAAUCUUCGGCAAUGGGGGGAACCCUGACCGAGCGACGCCGCGUGUGGGAUGAAGGCCCUUGGGUUGUAAACCACUGUCAGAGGGGAUGAAACGAUCAUGGGUUCUCCCAUGGUCCUGACAUAGCCUCAGAGGAAGCACGGGCUAAGUUCUUGCCAGCAGCCGCGGUAAUACGAACUGUGCAAACGUUAUUCGGAAUCACUGGGCUUAAA